rnacentral:rRNA from 1 species
GACGAACGCUGGCGGCGUGCUUAACACAUGCAAGUCGAACGGAAAGGCCCUGCUUUCUUGGGGUUCUAGCGUCGCGCGCGUGUGUGAAACACGUGAGUAACCUGCCCUUGACUGUGUGAUAACUUCAGAAAACUGGGGCUAAUACCGAAUAGGAGCUCCUGCUGCAUGGUGGGGGUUGGACAGUUUCGGCGGUUGGGGGUGGACUCGGGGUUUAUCAUCUUUUUGGGGGGGUAGUGGCUUACCAAGGCUUUGCCGGGUAGCCCGCCUGAGAGGGUGGACGGCCUCAAGGGGACUGAGGGAGGGACCAGACGCCUACGGGGGGCAGCAGGGGGGAAUAUGGCACAAUGGGGCGAAGCCUGAGACAGCAGCGCCGCGUGCGGGAAGAAGGCCUUCGGGGUGGAAACCGCUGUCGCCUGUGACGAAGCGUGAGUGACGGUAAUGGGUAAAGAAGCACCGGCUAACUACGUG